CUGGAAAAGACUAUGAUGUUUAUUUCCAAGCACAUAUCCGAGUUGUAUGUGUGGACAGCACUAAGACUGAGUCUUUUCCAU